GCUAGUUGGUGAGGUAACGGCUCACUAAGGCUCCGAUCGGUAGGGGGUCUGAGAGGAUGAUCCCCCACACUGGUACUGAGACACGGACCAGACUCCUACGGGAGGCAGCAGUAAGGAAUAUUGGACAAUGGGCGCAAGCCUGAUCCAGCCAUGCCGCGUGAAGGAUGAAGGCCCUAUGGGUCGUAAACUUCUUUUAUACGGGACAAAACCCCCCGACGUGUCGGGGGUUGAUGGUACUGUAAGAAUAAGGGUCGGCUAACUUCGUGCCAGCAGCCGCGGUAAUACGAAGGACCCAAGCGUUAUCCAGAUUUAUUGGGUUUAAAGGGUGCGUAGGCGGAUUAGUAAGUCAGUGGUGAAAGCCCAUCGCUCAACGGUGGAACUGCCAUUGAUACUGCUAGUCUUGAGUAUGGUUGAGGUGGGCGGAAUGUGUCAUGUAGCGGUGAAAUGCUUAGAUAUGACACAGAACACCAAUUGCGAAGGCAGCUCGCUAAGCCAUAACUGACGCUGAGGCACGAAAGCGUGGGGAGCAAACAGGAUUAGAUACCCUGGUAGUCCACGCCCUAAACGAUGAUAACUCGAUGUUGGCGAUACACAGUCAGCGUCUAAGCGAAAGCAUUAAGUUAUCCACCUGGGAAGUACGACCGCAAGGUUGAAACUCAAGGAAUUGACGGGGGCCCGCACAAGCGGAGGAGCAUGUGGUUUAUUUCGAUGAUACGCGAGGAACCUUACCUGGGCUUGAAAGUUAGUGACAGUCCCUGAAAUGGGGAUCUUCCGCAAGGACACGAACUAGGUGCUGCAUGGCUGUCGUCAGCUC
rnacentral:rRNA from 1 species